rnacentral:rRNA from 1 species
GACGAACGCUGGCGGCGUGCUUAACACAUGCAAGUCGAACGAGUGGCGAACGGGUGAGUAAUACGUGGGUAACCUGCCCUCUUUUUGGGAUAAGCCUUGGAAACGGGGUCUAAUACCGUAUAAAGGGGGAUGGGCUCGCGGCCUAUCAGCUUGUUGGUGGGGUGAUGGCCUACCAAGGCGGUGACGGGUAGCCGGCCUGAGAGGGUGACCGGCCAAAUGGGGACUGAGAGACGGCCCAGACGCCUACGGGAGGCAGCAGUGGGGAGUCUUCCGAAAGUGACGAAAGUCGGACGGAGCAACGCCGCGUGAGUGAUGACGGCCUGCGGGUUGUAAAGCUCUGUUAAUCGGGACGCGGUACCGGAAUAGAAAGCCACGGCUAACUACGUGCCAGCAGCCGCGGUAAUUC